ACGCCCUCUUGCUCUCUCGUCCAAGGUGCCCUUGCGAUCGCUGUGGCCAACCCCACUGACCUUGUCAAACUCAGGCCUCAGUCCGAGGGGAAGCUGGCACCUGGAAGGGGUUGCUGCUUUGUGCGGACUGACGUUGGUCUGAAUGUUGGACAUGAGGCCAUCAUAAACGCUUCUGAGUUGUUCAGUUAUGAUCAAGUGAAGCAGUCAUUAUCAAACUUCCUGGGUUCAAAGACGACGUCGUCACUCAUAUCUUCGCUGGUUUGGGUGCUCAAUUCUUUGCUGUUCAUGUUGGUUCUCCGGUCGACGUGGUGA
rnacentral:rRNA from 1 species